GACCGCGUAGCUCAGUUGGAAGAGCAUUGGGCUAGUAUUCCAAAGGUCGUAGGUUCGAAUCCCUCCGUGGCCA
rnacentral:tRNA from 1 species